GACCCGGUAGCUCAGCGGAUAGAGCGCUUCCCUACGAAGGAAGAAGUCGUGGGUUCGAUUCCCUCCCGGGUCGCCG
rnacentral:tRNA from 1 species